GCAGGAGCAAGUGCCUGGAGGAGAGGGGUUGCAGGAGCCGGCUGUCGCAGCCACAAAGCCUUGCCUAACUCCAAGCCCUGACCUACACAAGGGUACAUAGUCCCCCUGAAGGGAAAGCUGGGGGAGUCGGGACCGACCUGCCGGGUCGGGGCCUGGUGGACUGCUCGGUAUCUUCACUGAGGGCCCCCGGGAGCCUGGAUUACUGGUGGCUGUGAGCAGGGUGGGAUGCCUACGUGAGAGCAGCAGAGAAGCUCCAUAUAACUCGCAGGGAAGAAACACCAGGGAAAUGAAGAAGAGAAAACUGAGACACUGAGUCUUCAUUUACUUCCUGCCACUGAAAGGCGAAGAAAGGCAAGGCAAACAGUGGAAGAGAAAAAGAAAUGAGCAAGGGAGAUCGGGGAAAAGAGGAGCUACAUAAUUCAUCUGUUGCUGUCAGAAAUGGCAUGAAAUUAAAAUCCUUAAAAGA